UACGUAGGGGGCAAGCGUUGUCCGGAAUCAUUGGGCGUAAAGCGCGUGUAGGCGGUCCGAUCAGUCGGCUGUGAAAGUCCAGGGCUCAACCCUGGGAUGCCGGUCGAUACUGUCGGGCUAGAGUCCGGAAGAGGCGAGUGGAAUUCCCGGUGUAGCGGUGAAAUGCGCAGAUAUCGGGAGGAACACCAAUGGCGAAGGCAGCUCGCUGGGACGUAACUGACGCUGAGACGCGAAAGCGUGGGGAGCAAACAGG
rnacentral:rRNA from 1 species